AUAGAACGCUGGCGGAAUGCUUUACACAUGCAAGUCGAACGGCAGCACGGACUUCGGUCUGGUGGCGAGUGGCGAACGGGUGAGUAAUGUAUCGGAACGUGCCCAGUCGUGGGGGAUAACGUAGUGAAAAUUACGCUAAUACCGCAUACGAUCUAUGGAUGAAAGCGGGGGAUCGCAAGACCUCGCGCGAUUGGAGCGGCCGAUAUCAGGUUAGGGAGUUGGUGGGGUAAAGGCCCACCAAGCCAACGAUCUGUAGCUGGUCUGAGAGGACGACCAUCCACACUGGAACUGAGACACGGUCCAGACUCCUACGGGAGGCAGCAGUGGGGAAUUUUGGACAAUGGGCGAAAGCCUGAUCCAGCCAUUCCGCGUGCAGGAUGAAGGCCCUCGGGUUGUAAACUGCUUUUGUACAGAACGAAAAGGUUUCUACUAAUACUAGGAGCUCAUGACGGUACUGUAAGAAUAAGCACCGGCUAACUACGUGCCAGCCGCCGCGGUAA
rnacentral:rRNA from 1 species